rnacentral:rRNA from 1 species
GACGAACGCUGGCGGCGUGCUUAACACAUGCAAGUCGAGCGGAAAGGCCCUUCGGGGUACUCGAGCGGCGAACGGGUGAGUAACACGUGAGUAACCUGCCCCAGACUUUGGGAUAACCCUCGGAAACGGGGGCUAAUACCGGAUACGACACAGCUUCGCAUGGGGUCUGUGUGGAAAGUUUUUCGGUUUGGGAUGGGCUCGCAGCCUAUCAGCUUGUUGGUGGGGUGAUGGCCUACCAAGGCGACGACGGGUAGCCGGCCUGAGAGGGCGACCGGCCACACUGGGACUGAGACACGGCCCAGACUCCUACGGGAGGCAGCAGUGGGGAAUAUUGCACAAUGGGCGGAAGCCUGAUGCAGCGACGCCGCGUGAGGGAUGACGGCCUUCGGGUUGUAAACCUCCUUCAGCAGGGACGAAGCGUAAGUGACGGUACCUGCAGAAGAAGCGCCGGCCAACUACGUG